rnacentral:rRNA from 1 species
AGAGUUUGAUCAUGGCUCAGGACGAACGCUGGCGGCGUGCUUAACACAUGCAAGUCGAACGGAAAGGCCCUUCGGGGUACUCGAGUGGCGAACGGGUGAGUAACACGUGGGUGAUCUGCCCUGCACUUUGGGAUAAGCCUGGGAAACUGGGUCUAAUACCAAAUAUGACCGCGCACUUCCUGGUGUGUGGUGGAAAGCUUUUGCGGUGUGGGAUGGGCCCGCGGCCUAUCAGCUUGUUGGUGGGGUAAUGGCCUACCAAGGCGACGACGGGUAGCCGGCCUGAGAGGGUGACCGGCCACACUGGGACUGAGAUACGGCCCAGACUCCUACGGGAGGCAGCAGUGGGGAAUAUUGCACAAUGGGCGCAAGCCUGAUGCAGCGACGCCGCGUGAGGGAUGACGGCCUUCGGGUUGUAAACCUCUUUCAGCACAGACGAAGCGCAAGUGACGGUAUGUGCAGAAGAAGGACCGGCCAACUACGUGCCAGCAGCCGCGGUAAUACGUAGGGUCCGAGCGUUGUCCGGAAUUACUGGGCGUAAAGAGCUCGUAGGUGGUUUGUCGCGUUGUUCGUGAAAACUCACAGCUUAACUGUGGGCGUGCGGGCGAUACGGGCAGACUAGAGUACUGCAGGGGAGACUGGAAUUCCUGGUGUAGCGGUGGAAUGCGCAGAUAUCAGGAGGAACACCGGUGGCGAAGGCGGGUCUCUGGGCAGUAACUGACGCUGAGGAGCGAAAGCGUGGGGAGCGAACAGGAUUAGAUACCCCGGUAGUCC